GUUAUGAUGGCAGAGCCUGGUAAUUAUGUUAGACUUAAACCGUUAUUAGCAGAGGUUCAAUUCCUCUUCUUAACA
rnacentral:tRNA from 1 species